CCUACGGUGGGCAGCAGUGAGGAAUAUUGGUCAAUGGCCGGAAGGCUGAACCAGCCAUGCCGCGUGAAGGUCAGUGCCCUUUGGGCGUUAAACUUCUUUUGUGCGGGAACAAUAAUGGUCACGUGUGGCCAGACGAGAGUACCGUACGAAUAAGCAUCGGCUAACUCCGUGCCAGCAGCCGCGGUCAUACGGGGGAUGCAAGCGUUAUCCGGAUUGAUUGGGUUUAAAGGGUGCGUAGGCUGUGAGGUAAGUCAGCGGUGAAAUGCCCCCGCUCAACGGGGUGAAGUGCCAUUGAUACUGCCAUGCUGGAAUGCGGAUGCGGUGGGAGGAAUGUGUGGUGUAGCGGUGAAAUGCAUAGAUAUCACACAGAACACCGAUUGCGAAGGCAUCUAACGAAUCCGCGAUUGACGCUGAUGCACGAAAGCGUGGGUAUCAAACAGGAUUAGAUACCCUGGUAGUC
rnacentral:rRNA from 1 species